AACGAACGCUGGCGGCAGGCCUAACACAUGCAAGUCGAACGCCGUAGCAAUACGGAGUGGCAGACGGGUGAGUAACGCGUGGGAACCUACCUUACGGUCGGGAAUAGCUCAGGGAAACUUGGGGUAAUACCGGAUAAGCCCUUACGGGGAAAGAUUUAUCGCCGUUAGAUGGGCCCGCGUAGGAUUAGCUAGUUGGUGAGGUAAUGGCUCACCAAGGCGACGAUCCUUAGCUGGUCUGAGAGGAUGAUCAGCCACACUGGGACUGAGACACGGCCCAGACUCCUACGGGAGGCAGCAGUGGGGAAUAUUGGACAAUGGGCGCAAGCCUGAUCCAGCCACGCCGCGUGAGUGACGAAGGCCUUAGGGUUGUAAAGCUCUUUUGGCGGGGAAGAUAAUGACGGUACCCGCAGAAUAAGCUCCGGCUAACUUCGUG
rnacentral:rRNA from 1 species